UCAGUUGUAGCAGGAAAAAGGUAAAUAGUAGUGUGCAGGUUGGAGGAGCGUAGUGUGUGAAGAGUGAAGAUCUGAGUUGUUCACAAGGGAAGAAGUUUGGAGUAACGUAACUAUGGAGAAUAUAGAAGAUAUUGAACACAUGGAAGAGGCGUUUGAGUUUUUAGUUAAAUAG